rnacentral:rRNA from 1 species
GUGAGGAAUAUUGGUCAAUGGACGAGAGUCUGAACCAGCCAAGUCGCGUGAAGGAAGACGGUUCUAUGAAUUGUAAACUUCUUUUGUGCAGGAAUAAAGUGGGUUACGUGUAACCUUUUGUAUGUACUGUACGAAUAAGGAUCGGCUAACUCCGUGCCAGCAGCCGCGGUAAUACGGAGGAUCCGAGCGUUAUCCGGAUUUAUUGGGUUUAAAGGGUGCGUAGGUGGAUUGAUAAGUCAGCGGUGAAAGUUUGCAGCUUAACUGUAAAAUUGCCGUUGAAACUGUCGGUCUUGAGUGCAAAUGAGGUAGGCGGAAUGUGUUGUGUAGCGGUGAAAUGCUUAGAUAUAACACAGAACACCAAUUGCGAAGGCAGCUUACUGGGAUGCAACUGACGCUGAGGCACGAAAGCGUGGGGAUCAAACAGGAUUAGAAACCCCGGUAGUCC